CUGUCUCCCUUUCCCUAUUUUUCAAUCCCCCCUCUCUGCCCUGUAGCCGAUCGCUGUUGUAGUGGGUUCGUGUGGCAAGCUGGGGCAGGGGAGCGGGCAGGGGCUGCAGGGGUGGGUUCUGUGAGGAGACACCAGGACUCGCCCCCGUGUUGGGCACAGCCAGUUCCAGCUCCAAGAUGGAUCUGCUACUGGUCAAAGCUGAGCCAACCAGCAACGCUGGUAGCCCCUCUGUGAUAUUUAAGAACGGCUAAAAAAAUGCUGUGCAGAAGCUGGGAUAGAGAAAAUGGGAGUGUGAAACAGCCCUGCAGACACCAAGUCAAGCUGAAUCAACAGAAGAAGGAUCAUAUUAGACCUAAGACAUGGUGUGGACACGUAUUUAGCUAAUGUUGGUUGCAAGAGCAUUGCAGACGCCUUUAGAAGACCUUGAACAGAAUAAACAAGAAGACAAAAAAAGAAAGAUGAUAAUAAAGCCAAUUAGAAGAACACGGGUGUGCAUUCCACGAUAAAGGGCACUUGGCACAAAAAACCUCAAUUCGGCAGUUUAUCUCAACCAAUUAGACUGAGACAAGCUUCGCAUGUUUAAGUUGAUAUAACCAAUUAUAUCUUAUGCUUAUGCACGUGUACAGAGUUGGUAUAACCAAUUAUAUCUUAAGUUUAUGCGCGUGUACGGAGUUGAUAUAACCAAUCAUAUUUUAUGCUUGUGCGCGUGUACAGUGACUUUGCAGAAUAUGUGACUAUAAAUAUGUGUGUGUUUUAGCAAUAAAGGGUCAUCUGCUUUCAACUUUACAGGCGUCCAUCUACUUCAAUCUCUUCAACAUGGGAGUAAGUGAUUAACUUUAGACUAAGAUAAAUUAAUAGAAUAGCCUGAGUGAUUUUCAGAAAUUCAAAGGUCAUCUUUGAUGUGUAAGAAGAUAAGUGAUUGUGGUGACUGAAGAACUUCUGCCUAUGACCACUAACUUCAGAAGAACCGGCACACAAGAAUUGAUGAGAUAAGAUGAUGAAUGAUAACGACAUGGGAACAGAGAUCGACUGGAGAAUCACAAAGACUUUGGACUGGGACAAUGGGUGGUAAAAAGUGCCCUCGCUUUUUAAAAUUUUUGUCUAUUGUGGGAGCAGCUCAGAACACCUGGCAUUUGAAUCAAGAGUGAACCUUAGAACUUGUUGUGCUGCAUGUUUGCCAAGCCUUUGAAGAACUAGUUUUAGAAGGUCAGGUCAGAGGACUGCCUGGUGUGUGCCUGGGAAGAUGUGGCUGAAGACAGGCACGAGUAUGUGUAUGGAAUGUUUUUAUCUUUAACUGUUCUGAGGACUGGCAAACAACCCAGCCGAGCCAGAUAUGCACUCCUGUUUUAGUAAGAUAGAAGAUGCUGUAAGAGACAAUAAAGAGGUCUUUUUGCCAUUGCUUCGGAAUCAUCUUGUUGUCAUCCCGAGUGCCUCUUUCAUCACCACAUUUCUGGUGUCCCGUGUGAGGCUCCAGCAGACUGCAGAAAGCUCAGACGAACUUUCCAGUGACCCGCAACCCGAUGGGACAGAGCAUCAACCAAUUGGAUUAAUAGGACAGCUAGAAAUUACAAGGUAUUUUAUUUGGAAUGGAUUUUUCUCCCCAACACGCUAAAGAAAACAAUCACUACUGCAGCUGAACUGUAUGCUCUUCUUAUAAUGAAAGGUCGUACUCAGGUGCAAAGUAUUACAGGUUAUGAUCCAGAAAUAAUUCAUUUGCUGCUCACUACCUCUAAUUAUCAAUUCCUUUUAGAAAAUUCCAAACAGUUUCAGAUUGCAUUGGCUGAUUUUGUAGACAGAAUUACAUUUUCCUAUCCACCCCAUAAAUUCUUACAUAACUUGAUAUAUUUACCUCUAGCUGAAGAUGUAAUUGUUCAAUGGAAACCUAUUAAUGAUGCUAAAACCGUUUUUGUAGACAGCUCCGGAAAGACAGGAAAAGCAGCUGUAGUGUGGCAUGACGACGAGUGGAAACAUUCAGUAACAAAACAUGAUGGAUCUACUCAGAAAAUGGAACUCCAGGCAGUUUUGCAUGCCCUCACAUUGUUUUCACAUAAGCCCUUAAAUAUAGUAUGCAACUCUGAGUAUGCUGUUAAUAUUGUUGUCCAAUGUAUUAAUGGUGCUUUUCUGAAAGAAAUUAAUGAGAGUUGUUUGAUUUGCUUUUUCAAAUUCAGUCUUUGAUUUCCCAUCAAAAACAUCCAUUAUUUAUUGUUCACUCUCGAUCUCAUACCACUUUACCAGGACCCUUGACAAAAGGUAAUGCAAUAGCAGAUUCAUUGACAGUAGCUGUAUUACAAUUUGAUUAUGUGAGAGCAUCUCAUUCUUUUUUUCACCAAAAUGCUGCUGGCUUGCACAAACAAUUUAAGAUUUCUUUAUUUCAAACCAAGGACAUUAUUCACUCUUGCCCUGAUUGUCAGUGACUGACACCACACAGUUUUCCUAGUGGUGUUACACCUCGAGGCCUACAAGCUAAUGAAAUAUGGUGAACAGAUGUUACCCAUGUAAAUUCUUUUGGCCGUCUUAAGUAUGUACAUGUAUCUGUAGAUACCUUUUCUGGAGUACUGUGUGUGUCUGCACACACAGGGGAGAAGGUAAAAGAUAUUAAAAAACAUUGGACCCAUUGUUUUGCAAUUCUCGGAGUUCCUAAAACGAUAAAAACAGACAACGGGCCUGGCUACACUGCUAAAAGCACACAAUUGUUUCUGCAACAAUGGGGUAUAGCUCACGUCACAGGGCUACCCUAUAACCCACAAGGACAAGGUAUAAUUGAAUGCAGCCAUGCAACCUUCAAAAAUAUGCUGUUAAAACAAAAAAGGGGGAAUAUGAGCCCACAGGAACAAUUAGACAAUGCAAUUUAUACCUUAAAUUUUUAAAAUGUGAAUUCUCAACUAUCCGUCACACCCAUGGAAAAGCAUUAUUCUGGUGAACACGGGAAGUUUACAGAAUGACCAGAAGUAUUAUAUCGAGAUCCAUUAGUAAGUAACUCAUGGCUUGAUCCUAUUGAACUAAUAACUUGGGGAAGAGGGUAUGUGUGUGUUCUUCUACCAGCAGGACCUAGGUGGCUGCCCACUCGUCACGUCAAACCCUAUCAUGAGCUGGCAAAACCACUUGAACAACCCAAUCCCGCAGAUGAAGACUCUGAAUUUGAAAGAGGAGAAAUGAAUGAGGAGGAAGUGGCGCAUCAAGAAUGAAAAAGCUAUCAUGUGGGGAGAUUUGAAGAGAAUGCAGCAGCAAGCUAGUGUG